GCCUGUCUCUUGAUGUGUCAGUGUGCAUGAAGUCCUCUUCCCUAUUGCACCACCUAGACUAAAAGUAAAUUGCUAAUCCUCUCGUACACGGAUUUUCCUGAGGUUGCAGUAAAACAAUCAGGGGGACAAGAAAAUGUCGUUUAGUCUUUCCAGUGGAAAACUUAAGAAUGCCCCUCUAAAGGAAAUCUACAAAACAGAGCAUAUCACAAACUGGUGUCAACCUCUUAGAUAAAGCACCAUAAUCUAGGAGUUGAUUUUACCCCAGCUGGGGACCUGAUCCAGCAUAUUUACACCAAUUCCUCCCUCUUUCCCCCUGUUCUCUGCCUCUUCCUCUCUCUGCCCAAGACGCAUGACGGAAAUACCCAGGUUUUCAGGGCGGGAAUAAGCGGAGGGGCUCUCCUUUCACACACCUCCUGGUAACCUUUCCUUCCAGCCGUGCCCGGGGCCGUCCCAGGCCACCAGCCCCUGCAUCCCCUCCCGAAGAAUGUCGCCUGUGAGGCAGAAAUUCCCACCAUGGGAAUCGCGCCUCUGUGCCGCACAACAAAGGCGCCCGCAUUGUGUCCCGCUAAGCGGGUGUUAAAAUGCGCAUAUGUUGCCAGGGCCAUUGCGGGCCAGGGCCCGCUCGGGAAGAGGAGGGAGGUUUUUCCCGAGCUGGCCGCUCUGAAUCCCCCAUAUUAGCACAUUAGCGCCCAUGCGGCCGCUUUAUCAGAUUAGCCACACUUGUCACAGAUUAGUUCACCCUGUGAAGGAGCCGCAAAGGUACCUUUGACCAUUCAUUCAAAAGAGCCAAAAAAGUUUUCUUUUCUUUUUCUUUUUUUUUUUUUUCCUUGUCUUCAACCAUCAGAGUGCAAAGCGAAUUAAAAAGAAAGUCUCUCUCCCUUUCUCUCUCUCUCUCCCCCCCUCAUUUUGGUAACUAAAGGAUAGGUACUACGGUGGACUACACAGAGAGAGAUAUUAAUGGACAUCUAAUAUUCAUCUAGGAAUGUUUAUUUAACCCCUUAAAACAUUGAUGUGUUUUCUUUCCUCACCAAUGUCAAUAGUCCUUUCAGAAAUGACCUUUCUGAAGCUCAGAGUGGAUUUUUAAAUGUUUUGCUUCUCUGUCUCCCCCUUCCCCCCCCUUUUUCAUUCCAGUUAAUUUGCAGCGUGGUUCGGUGGUCUCUAUUCUGCAGAUUAGGGGUGGGGGAGAGGAAAAGACUUGCUAAUGGCUCGUUACAUUAUUUUUUUUAACCCAUCUUUCUCCUUAAAAGGUUUUGAUAGCUGGUAAAACAAACAGUGACUCAAAAUACCUUUGGUUUGACUUGCAGUCUACACAGGCAUUAAGCCUGAGCCUAGAGAAGACAAUAACGCCUUGGAAGUGCAGUGACAGCAGUGACACUCCUCUGAAUGAACUUGUGGUGAAGGAGGCCUAGAAAGCUACAGAAACAUACAGCUGGAAUUGCUGGUUAACAUUCACACCUUUGGCACAUAAAAAAAAAAAAUUGUGGAAGGAAACUGUGGCGAGGAAGGAAUGCAGCAAUUCCUCACACCUCGGUGCUUUCUAGGGGAGGUGUUCCACAUCCUUGUGCCAGCUGUAGCAUUGCUGGGCUCAGCUGGAGCUUGUCCACCGCUGCAGACUGGCUGUGCUGCCAGCAUGGGGCUGAGGGGACAAACCCACGACAAACGUGAUCUCCUGGGACUGACGUUCCCUUUGUCAUACAGGUGGUCCUAACAUGACACAACCUCAGGCAUUUGUGGGAACUUCUGUUUCGAGGGAAUUCUGGAAGUCAUCUCUAUGCCAAGUUUUCAAACUGUACCAAGUUUCAAACUGUACUGGAAAACCAAAGAUGCUAAGAUUACAAACUGCACGCUCCACACACUGCACAGUUCUCUGUGCAACAGCCUCUGAGGAUCCCCUGAGAGCUGUCUACAGGCAGACUGAGGGCUGCAGAAGGGCGUGAAGCAAAGAACCAGGUCUUCACCUUCAAGACCCUCCCUCCAGCACAAAAACCUCGUGGAUUCCUUACUCAGAAGGUGUGACAGCAGUAGGAUCAUCACGCUUUUGGUAUCAUUACACUUUAAGAUUAAUGUGGUAUUUUAAUCUCUAAUGUGGGUGUGAUUAGUUCUUUUAAAGUCAUUGGAAAUCACAUAAGUGAAAACACUAUCAGAUCACAACCUUUUAAUUAGCAGUAUGUUUUUAUAAGCUUGGUAAAGGCAUUACUGAGUGAAAUGAUACAAGCUGAUUUAUUUGAGUCAGAUGAGACAGUGAUCACAACAGACUGUUGGCCAAUGUGCAUGAAUCUGUAGGAGUUCCAACUAAAGAAGAGAAUAAGAUAUUUUUUUAGUUUUAAUUUCUCUGAUGUCUUUUGAAAAGAAAAAUACCUACACUCAAAGAAAGGGUACUUUCUGCAGAAAAAAAACCCCAAACUAACAACCAAACAAAUUCUUGCAUACUACGUGUUUUUCUCUUCGAAUAGAAAAAUUUCUUCAUUGUCCCUUAAAUGCUUUUCUCUUGUUUCCAUAAGGUAAAAACAGAAGCAAAAGACAAUCCACUUAGAUAACUAUUUUGUUUUACCAUAAUGAUGUCAGGCAUUUUCAGCUUCUCUCAAAAUACUGGAGUAUUUGUUUGAGCUUAUUAUUUAAAAAAAAAAAAAAGAAGUGUUGCUUCACUGAAAAAAACAGCUGAAUUUGUCAUGUGGAUAUUUAUCAUACUGAUAUGCACUACAUUAUGUUCUUGAAUUUUGAUUCAAUAAAUAUACUGUUUUGCUUUACUGUCAAUUCCUCUUUCUCCCCCUUUUCUUUUUCUGCUUUAAAUCUGUUCUCCCUUUCCUCUGUUACCAUGCAAAAUUGCCUAAAGGACAUCCAAGCUAUUAAUGCGCACGUGGGGCUCAACUGAGCAAAACAAGCUGUCUGGUGGGCAGACAGACUUUUCAGCUCAAACAUCUCAACUAAAUCUCCUCUGUGACAUUGUGUAGGCCAAUCCUGAAGUCUUGGAGCACAUUCCCCAUGCAGCAUCCUGCACAAUGACCUUGUUCACCACAGCUGGGCCCAACUGCACUUCCCUUAGAGUCCAAUUGCCUCCCAGCUUCUGGGUUGAUGACACACAGCUCUGGACUCACCUCUUUCAUGGGAAAGUAUUUUAACUUUUCCCAUGGAAAAAAAUUGCCACUUGG